rnacentral:rRNA from 1 species
UACGUAGGGGGCAAGCGUUGUCCGGAUUUAUUGGGCGUAAAGAGCGUGUAGGCGGCCAGGUAGGUCUGCUGUGAAAACUCGAGGCUCAACCUCGAGAUGUCGGCGGAAACCAUCUGGCUAGAGUCCGGAAGAGGAGAAUGGAAUUCCCGGUGUAGCGGUGAAAUGCGCAGAUAUCGGGAAGAACACCCGUGGCGAAGGCGGGUCACUGGACUGGUACUGACGCUGAGGCACGAAGGUCAGGGGAGCAAACGGG